GAUGAACGCUGGCGGCGUGCCUAAUACAUGCAAGUCGAGCGAACAGACGAGGAGCUUACUCCUCUGACGUUAGCGGCGGACGGGUGAGUAACACGUGGAUAACCUACCUAUAAGACUGGGAUAACUUCGGGAAACCGGAGCUAAUACCGGAUAACAUGUUGAACCGCAUGGUUCAACAGUGAAAGACGGUCUUGCUGUCACUUAUAGAUGGAUCCGCGUCGCAUUAGCUAGUUGGUAAGGUAACGGCUUACCAAGGCAACGAUGCGUAGCCGACCUGAGAGGGUGAUCGGCCACACUGGAACUGGGACACGGUCCAGACUCCUGCGGGAGGCAGCAGUAGGGAAUCUUCCGCAAUGGGCGAAAGCCUGACGGAGCAACGCCGCGUGAGUGAAGAAGGUCUUCGGAUCGUAAAACUCUGUUAUUAGGGAAGAACAAAUGUGUAAGUAACUAUGCACGUCUUGACGGUACCUAAUCAGAAAGCCACGGCUAACUACGUG
rnacentral:rRNA from 1 species